GAUGAACGCUAGCGGGAGGCCUAAUACAUGCAAGUCGAACGGUAACAGGUAGCAAUACGCUGACGAGUGGCGCACGGGUGCGUAACGCGUACACAAUCUGCCUUAUACUGGGGCAUAGCCUUUGGAAACGAAGAAUAAUUCCCCAUAAUAUAUAGAAGAGGCAUCUCUUUCAUAUUAAAGCUCAGGCGGUAUAAGAUGAGUGUGCGUCCGAUUAGGUAGUUGGUGAGGUAACGGCUCACCAAGCCAACGAUCGGUAGCUGGUCUGAGAGGAUGAUCAGCCACACGGGCACUGAGACACGGGCCCGACUCCUACGGGAGGCAGCAGUAGGGAAUAUUGGACAAUGGGCGCAAGCCUGAUCCAGCCAUCCCGCGUGAAGGAUGAAGGUCCUCUGGAUUGUAAACUUCUUUUCUUCGGGAAUAAAAACUGGGGUUCUCCUCAGCUUGAAGGUACCGAAGGAAUAAGCACCGGCUAACUCCGUG
rnacentral:rRNA from 1 species